GACGUGCUAAUCUGCGAUAAGCGUCGGUAAGGUGAUAUGAACCGUUAUAACCGGCGAUUUCCGAAUGGGGAAACCCAGUGUGAUUCGUCACACUAUCAUUAACUGAAUCCAUAGGUUAAUGAGGCGAACCGGGGGAACUGAAACAUCUAAGUACCCCGAGGAAAAGAAAUCAACCGAGAUUCCCCCAGUAGCGGCGAGCGAACGGGGAGCAGCCCAGAGCCUGAAUCAGUGUGUGUGUUAGUGGAAGCGUCUGGAAAGGCGCGCGAUACAGGGUGACAGCCCCGUACACAAAAAUGCACAUGCUGUGAGCUCGAUGAGUAGGGCGGGACACGUGGUAUCCU
rnacentral:rRNA from 1 species